ACUGGGGGUUCAAAAGGGUUGCUCAUUGUCUUUUAGCAUGGAGGGAGAGGCCAUGGAUUUGGCAUAUUAAAUAGUUGUUUCUUCAUAUUAAGAAGUUAGAGAGGUAGGAGAUGGUUAAAGUGGUAAAGGCAAGGAGAAAUUUUGUGCUUAUAAGGAAGAAUUCGAAACAAGCACAUUAUGAUUGAUCUUGGCAUCGAUAAUAACAAGAUUAACUGGGCUCUUAAGGACAAAUAGGAGUUCAAAGACAUUAUUGGGACUGUAUACCGUGAGGCAUGGAAAGGCCGUGGUUUGAAAGAUUACUCGAAAAAGUACUGCUAUUGAGUAUUCUUCCAACAUGUAGUUGAUCAGAAUGUAAAUUGUAUGUAGAUAUGUGUGUCAUUUGCAAUGUUUGGUUGCAUGAAUGUGGAGGAUAAUCCAAUUUGAGAUGAAACUUUGAAAUAUA